AGCUUGCUUCUAUCAAUCUUAGUGGCGAACGGGUGAGUAACGCGUAAUCAACCUGCCCUUCAGAGGGGGACAACAGUUGGAAACGACUGCUAAUACCGCAUACGAUCCAAUCUCGGCAUCGAGGAUGGAUGAAAGGUGGCCUCUAUUUAUAAGCUAUCACUGAAGGAGGGGAUUGCGUCUGAUUAGCUAGUUGGAGGGGUAACGGCCCACCAAGGCGAUGAUCAGUAGCCGGUCUGAGAGGAUGAACGGCCACAUUGGGACUGAGACACGGCCCAGACUCCUACGGGAGGCAGCAGUAGGGAAUCUUCGGCAAUGGGGGCAACCCUGACCGAGCAACGCCGCGUGAGUGAAGAAGGUUUUCGGAUCGUAAAGCUCUGUUGUAAGUCAAGAACGAGUGUGAGAGUGGAAAGUUCACAUUGUGACGGUAGCUUACCAGAAAGGGACGGCUAACUACGUGCCAGCAGCCGCGGUAAUACGUAGGUCCCGAGCGUUGUCCGGAUUUAUUGGGCGUAAAGCGAGCGCAGGCGGUUUGAUAAGUCUGAAGUUAAAGGCUGUGGCUCAACCAUAGUUCGCUUUGGAAACUGUCAAACUUGAGUGCAGAAGGGGAGAGUGGAAUUCCAUGUGUAGCGGUGAAAUGCGUAGAUAUAUGGAGGAACACCGGUGGCGAAAGCGGCUCUCUGGUCUGUAACUGACGCUGAGG
rnacentral:rRNA from 1 species